rnacentral:tRNA from 1 species
AUUUAGGUAGUUUAUAUUAAAAACGAUGAUUUGUGGAGUCAUAAAAAUAAAGUUAUUUAAUUUAUUCUAAAUU